ensembl:snoRNA U8 U8 small nucleolar RNA
UCAUCAGGUGGGAUAAUCCUUACCUGUUCCUCCUUUGGAGGAACAUGGUGGAACAGACAGAACAUGAUGAUUGGAGAUGCAUGAUACAUGAUUAACGUCUCUGUGUAAUCAGGACUUGCAACAUCCUGAUUGCUCCUAUCUGAU